GGAUUGUGGCUCAGUGGUAGAGUUCUUGCCUAGGACGUGUGAGGCACUGGAUUCAAUUCCCAGCACCA
rnacentral:tRNA from 1 species